UCUGUAAUAAUUAGAUUAAAAUAAGUUGGCUUAAUUUUUGAAUUAAUAUAAAAUUAUAUUAUGCAUUUAACUUAAUUUAUAUCUAAAAAAAAAAAAACAAAACAAAAAUGACAACAUAUCUUGUGAAGGUGUUAUUGCCUAACUUUAAUUUCUUAUGAAGCAUGUUUGUUAAUAAAGUGCAUGAAUUAUAUAAGCAUGUUUGUAUUUAUUUAAAAUUUAUAUUUAUUUUACAGAAUGAAAUGAAAAAUUUUUUCACAAAAUUUUAUUUUUAUAUAUAUUAUUUUAUAUCUUGUCACAGAAAUCACCCUUUCAAGAAUAGCAUGAUUGGUGCUGGUUAUUGGAAUGAAAUGCCACAACAAAAAUCCAUACACACACCCAAAACUUUUCUUUAUCCAUUAUCUAACAUUUUACUUUUCUAUCUGUCACAUUUCACAUAGUUUUCUUGCUUUCACUAACUAACUGCAAUUAAGCUUCUGCUAUAUUAGUUUUAAAGAUAAUAUUUUGAAAAUUCUAGUACAGCAAGCUGUUUUAUUUUUGUUAUUUUAAAUGUAGGGUCCCCCAGGAUUGGAUGGUAUGAAGGGAGAAAGAGGAGAGCCUGGUAGUAAAGGGGAGAAAGGGGAACCAGGAUUACCAGGAACUGAUGGUAUUCCAGGCUUACAGGGUUCUAAGGGAGACAAGGGUGAUCUUGGUCCACCUGUGAGUUAAAAUAACUUUCUUAUUUGUUUCAGUUUAUUUGGUACCAGCACUUUUCUUUGUAUUUCUUCAUGCACAGAGUGUGGUUUUUUUAAUCUCAUUCAAGAUUUUAGUUUGCACAUAAGAUGUUUAAAUUGUUCAUUAUUAUUUAAGAGCCACAGAUUUAAAUGAAGGUUCUUUAACAAUAAAAAUGUAAAAUUUAUUUAUUUAUUUAUUUAAAGAAAAAAAAAACUAGUAAU